rnacentral:rRNA from 1 species
UCGAUAACGAACGAGACCUCAGCCUAUUAAAUAGUUUUACGUUAUGGAAACAUAGGAGUAAACUUCUUAAAGGGACAUGUUGGGUUUACCAGCGGGAAGUUUGAGGCAAUAACAGGUCUGUGAUGCCCUUAGAUGUUCUGGGCCGCACGCGCGCUACACUGACGAAUUCAACGAGCUUUUACUAUUAGUAGUAAAUUCCUUUAUCGGAAGAUAUGGGUAAUCUUUAAAUGUUUGUCGUGAUGGGGCUAGAUUUUUGCAAUUAUUAAUCUCCAACGAGGAAUUCCUAGUAAACGCAAGUCAUCAGCUUGCAUUGAAUACGUCCCUGCCCUUUGUACACACCGCCCGUCGCAACUACCGAUUGAAUGGCU